rnacentral:lncRNA from 1 species
UGCAAUCGUAGAUUUAAGGCACGAAGAAGGAGCAAACAACACAGUGAGUGGUAUUGGAUGAUGUACAGAUGAUGUUGCAGUAACUUAUGUUGUGCUUCACACCUCUCGAGUGAGGUAUUUAUGAGUUCACUCCCUCUUGUUUGCACUUAAACAUUGAGUUUAAUGUUUGGGGGGAUUUCUUUACUUUUCUUUCGCUUUUUCUAUUUUAUGUGUUUAUGUUUUUUUUAUUCUUUUAGUUAUUUCUGUUAAUUUUAGUUGUUUUCGUUAAUUUUUCUUUUGAAAAGACCAUUUUUUCAAAAACAAAUCUUGAAUUAUGACCGUUCAAAAAUUUUCUCUUUAAAAAGCUUUGGUCAUGAGGAAACCGGGAAAGUAUAUAGAGUUAGAAGGAUGAGAGGCUAACUCUAG